rnacentral:tRNA from 1 species
GAACUUUUAGGUUAAGAUAAACUUGAGGCCUUCAAAGUCUUAGAUGGCGGUUGUUGUGUGCUAGAGUUUG